AUUUGGAAAGACUGAUACUGCGUCAGUUCUAACCGAAACCAUUGGAUACAUAAAGUUCCUACAAGAGCAAGUCCAGCUACUGAGUAAUCCUUACAUGAAGACCAAUUCCUAUAAGGAUCCAUGGCAAAACUUGGAGAGAAAAGAAGUGAAAGGGGAUGGAAAAACUGACCUAAGGAGCAGAGGGCUUUGUUUAGUUCCAAUUUCAUGUACACCACAAGUCUAUAGAGAGAACACAGGAUCUG
rnacentral:misc_RNA from 1 species